rnacentral:lncRNA from 1 species
GGGGGGGCACUGCGGCUACAGAGCCCCGAGUGGGAGGCCGGGGGGAGGCGGGGGCGCCGGAGCUGGGCUGCCUCUUACCUAUCAGGUAAGACUGACCCACGGGAGGGAGGUUUCUAGUCAAGGCUGUUUCCCCCAGGAAAUUUAAAAGCUAGAUUUCGGCUUCAGGGCGAUAGGCCAUGGUGAGGGGAUCUGUAUUUUUUAAGGUUUUUCUAAAGGACUUCUGGGCCAGCCUUCCACCUUGGGAUCCCCAGAUUUGCUGCCGUGAGGUACCUGGAAGGAACAGAGGGACGCCCAAGGGCAGUGACUGGGGGCAGUUAUGGUCACUACAAAAGGAGAACAGGGAUCCCCAGGAAGUGUCUCACGUCCGGCGCUGUGGAAUUAGUUGCUGAUCAAGUAGGGAGAAAAUGAAAUUAAAAUUUUAAGGGCUAAUUCCCCUUCAUUCAAGAAAUAUUUACUGUGAUGAAGACAUGUUCCAUGCAGAGGAAAUGGCCAAUGCAAAGAGCCCCUGACUGGAGGGCAUUUGGCACAUUCUAGGAGAGUGAGGAGGAUUCUAUGGGCCAGGAAUUCAGACAGGGCACAGUGUUGAUGGCUUGUCUGUGUCCUGGCUGGGAUGGCUCAAAUGGUUGUGGGACUAUUUGACUUGAAAGGCUGGAGCCUGGAAUCAUUUGAAACAUUGUUCACUCAUGUGUCUGGCACCUGCGUUAGAAUGACUGAAGGCUACAUCAACUAGAGUACUUACAUCCGGUCUCUCCAUGUGACUUGGACUUUUCACAGCGUGGAGGCUGGAUUUCAAAGGCAGGAAGACACCAUAUCAGGAAAAAGAGAGUGAACAACUGAGUCAAUUGCUGCUGAUGGUCAAGUCAGAAGAAGACUUGGAAUUAACAUAAGAUCUAGCAUCAUGUUUGUGUUAUGUAUAAGAUAUUAACAUUGAUUGCAGAUGCCCACAAUGUUUAUGAUCUGACUGAAUUCUUUAGUGGAAUCACAAAAGUUCAACAUACUCAGAUGUGUACAGUAGGUCAACUGAGAAUGGCAGAGGACUCAUCCCACCUUUGCCACAUGGUGACUUGCCCCACUCCCCCAGGUGACCUUGCUCGUGCAUGUGGAUAUUUGCUCAGAUUAAGAAUGUUUCCCACAAAAUUGCUUACUCUCUUUCAUUCUGUCCGUGGUUGCUUGUGGUUUAUUUGUUGAUAACUGAGACUAUUUAAAGAUUGCCAAAACAAAAGCCAUUUCUUUUCUCCCCGAAUAGCCUCAUUUUUUCUAUUCCCUUUUUCCCCUCCUAUUAACAUUUCUGGGGACUCUAAAGCAGAGCUCAAGAUGGUUCAGGACCACGGAGAGCGCAAGGAAGGGGAACUACCAAAGCACUUUAGUCAUGCAGGUGGGGAAAGAGAUGAUCCUAAAAUUGUUUUUAUUUUUCUGUUUUUUUGAGAGGGAGUCUCGCUCUGUCACCCAGGCUGGAGUGCAGUAGCACGAUCUUGGCUCACUUCAACCUCCGCGUCCCGGGUCCAAGCGAUUCUAGCGCCUCAGCCUCCUGAGUAGCUGGGAUUACAGGUGUGCACCACCAUGCCCAGCUAAUUUUUUGUAUUUUUAGUAGAGACUGGGUUUUGCCAUGUUGGCCAGGCUGGUCUCCAAUUCCUGACCUCCAGUGAUCCACCCCCCUCAGUCUCCCAAAGUGCUGGGAUUACAGGCGUGAGCCACCACGCCCAGCCAAUAGUGGAAUUGUUGCCGGACAAUAUUUAUUUAAAAGACAUUAUUGUAAAGAGUAACAGUGUAAUUCUGGCUCCUUGAAAUUUGAGGGGAAUGAUUUUUCUGGACAUUCGACCAGUGCUUUCUAAAUUUCUCCACUGAAUUCUAUCUAAUGACAGAUGAGAGGACACUGAAAGUAGGAGUAGCCAUAAGUCACCAGUGCAAAAUGUCUUUUGAAGUUUGCAUUUAUUGAUUGCUACCAUUUAUGUAAAGUUUUACAGUUUUGACAGUCAUAGGGUUCACCAAUCCACCAUAGAAGAGAAUUAAGUCAUGCGGACACAGCAGGGUUUAGAAUGGAUGAGUAGAGGAGUGUGUGCAGGCUCCAGUCCCCAAAGUCUCUAGGACUGUCCUAGAACCUGCAGCUCAUCUGUCAAUUCUGUCAACUACUCAGGAUCCUCUCAAGAAUUAUCCCCCCAUACCCACCUUUUAAAUUUCCUCAAGCUAGUUUCAUUUGAGUUUUGUCACUUGCAACUGAAUGAGCCCUGCUAAUGCAGAUAGAUUCAAUUGAGAAGGGGAAUUCUAGGCUAGGAGUACAAGGUUACAGGCAAGGAGACAGGAACAUAGCUUGGGAUUUCCUGGGGCAGUGAGAAAACUGACUUUAAAAAAAUGGAAUGGUUUCUAAAAUGUUUGUACAACUUCUCUGUAUGGCAAUGGGGUAGGAGUAUAAAUUCUUUCAGCUUCUUCUGAGGGCAGCUGAACAAGAAGUAUAAAAAUUUUGAAUGCUGAUAACAUUUGACCUAGCAAUUCCAUCUCUAGAAAUAAAUUCUACAGUAGUAAUCUUAAAAACGUAUUCACUGAAAUGUUAUUUUCUCAUAGAAAAUGUCGAAACAACAUAUGUGUCCAUCAAUAGAGAACUUGCUAAAUGAUUUAUACUACCUUUACAUAUUGAAAUACGCAUAGCCGUGGAAGAUAAUUUAGUAGAUCUAUAUGUCCCAUUAUGGAACAAUCCCCAUGGUGGGGGGAAAAGUAAGGUGCAGAACUGUAUCAUAGAUGUUCUCUCUCUCUCUCUUUUUUUUUGGAAAGCACAUGUAUGCUUUUAUAUACACAGAAAAAUUCUAGAAUGGCAAACAAGAUAUCUUUGCAAUAGUUUUUUUCUGGGAGGGGACUCAUUUAAAAAAAUUCUCCCAUAUUGCUUGUUUUGUUUUGUUAAAGACAUCCAUGUAUUCCUACUUGGGUUAAGCCAUGAUAACUAAAUAUGAUUAAAGUUCAGAACAAUAAAAACCUUAGAGAUGUAUACAUAAAUAUCACUUGCUUAGGAAUUUCUAGGUAGGUACUAUUUUAAGCCCUCUACAUAUAUUAUUUCAUUCAAUCCUUGGAGCAACUCUAGGAGGGAGGUGUUAUCCUCUAAUUGCAGAUGAGGUUGAUGAAGCUUAAAGAGUAAUGAUGCCUUGAGUCCAUCCUCUGGCUCCAAAGCCCUUGUAUUUAACUGUUCUCCCUUUUGCAUCCCUGUGCUAAAGUGACUUUGCUAUAAUAUCCACAAGGAAGAAUUUCUGUGUAAAAAUUAGACUUCCUUGCAGGCAGUCUAUCAGUGAUAUCCAAUAAAGACUCAAUAAUGGCUAACAAUACAAACCACACACACAAGAAAAACUUCUCCUUUUGUGCCAGGUACUUAGAUUAGGUGUAGUGGUUUUCUUAAACUGAUUAUCAAGGUAAACACCACCUCAUACAUUUCAGCAGAGAGCAGUGGUUUCUCUCUCCAGCAGUGGGAGCCAUUGAAUCAGGACAAUGCCACACAGUUGGGCUUUCAUGUUAGAUAGAUCACUCUUGUGGUUUUGGGGGAUGGCAUUAUAAGAGAGGAGACUGGAGACAGGGGGGCUAUUGUCAUGCAGAUUUGUUGGAUGUCCACCCAGCAUUCACUUUUUCCAUCUUUUGCCAGGGGUACACUACACAACAUCACCAGUCAUUUCAUAGAAUGGCAAUUAGAUUAGGCUUAGGUCUGCACUGCCUUCCUUCACUCCGCUCUGUCACUUGCCAUCAUUGUAAAUGCUGACAACUUAGUGCCUUUCAUGCUUCAAGUAUCAAUAAGAUAGGAAUAGUAAUAGUAUCACAUUGAAUUAUUGUGGAGUUUUGAACAGAUGAUACUUGUGUUAUCAGUGCUCAAUAAAUAUUAGCUGUCCUCUUCCUUAUUGUUGUUGUCCUCAACUAUGUAUUUUAAAUGGGAUUAGUCACACAACUCCUCAUGUCCCCCACCCAUUAAUACCUGACUCCUUUGCAAAACAAAGCAUAGCAUAUGGUGGUGGGGAUUACAAAAUCGUUACAGAAAUUUCAUAUGUAAAAAAGGGGCAAGAGUUGGCCAGUUUGACACUUCCUUAACCUAUUUUAUUUUUCUUAAAUAUUACAGUAUCACCAGAUAUACUUUCUAUUUAUUUCUUCUCUGAGAGUAUGCAAUUUGUCUGAUGUGUUGCCUGCUGUUUUUGGGUGAGUGAUAAAUAUGAGUUCUAUAUAGGGGGUGAAGAAAGCAUUCCAUGAGUGGGACUGUAUGAACAAUGGAGAAAAGUCAUGAAGGAAAGAUGGCAUUCCAUGUGGACUCGAGUAAAGUGAACAUGAUAUCUUGUCUAUAAGGGGGAUCAUACAUUUAAAGCAUUCAGCAACCUGUAACCAACACAACAGUCUUUCCAAGAAGAAGAGAGUAUGAGCUUUUAGAGGGGAAGAAAAGUAUCCUCUUCCCUUGAGAAGCAUUCAGAGCAUCUAGUAUCACACUUGGGAUAUAGCAGGCAUUUGGUACUCAAUUAAAGAAUAGAAUGUGAUUAAAUAACUUUGAGGGCCCACAUGGAUGACUUUGAAUACGGAUCAAAAGUUUGGACUUAGCUUGUCAGUAAUGAGGAGCCUUUGGUAUGAUCAACAGGAGAAGUAACAUAGCACAUCUGAGAUAUAGAGUAAAAUGGAAACCUUGAGCAAAGGUAGGCUAGUUAGGAGUCUGUUUCAAUAGACCAAAGGAGAUGGAGAGCAUGAGGGGCUCAGUUAGUCUUGUGGUGGUGGAAAUAAAGAGGAAAAAGCAGGUGCAGAAAACAUUCAGAGGAGGAAACAAUGGGCUGUUGAAACAAAUUGGAUAUUUGGGACAAUAGCAAGAGAAAAGUCAAAGAUAACUGGGAUUUUAAUCCUGAGCAACGGGUAGGCUAGUGAGACAUCUAAUCACUCUCCCCGUCUCCUUCCCUGAAAGUUAAUUACUCACAGAAAAAGCAUUAGCCAGAAGUCAGCAUGUUUACAUCAGUUCCUUAACCCUGCAAGUCCACAUUGGUGAUGCAGGUGGCCAAGACAGGUGCUGCACACACUGGAUUACAGCAUGGAAGAGGAGCCCAGGGUCAUGGAGGCACCCAGCAAGUGGCAAAAUAUGGGCACCUUGACCUACUGGGUUGCCUAUGUGACCAGCUACAGAAGCUGCUCAGUAUCAGGAGCUGGAGCUGCCUGCAAUCUGGCCACUCAGCAAGAAUUUUCAGAGACUGUUUCUAUUCCAUAGUGGAUGCUCCAUCCAACACCAUUCUUUUAAAGUGCGCACAUCUGAUCACUUUCCAAGUAUAAAUGGCCUGAAUUUAUUUUCCUUUCUUUACCAAAAUCCAACCUAAGUAAUUUUUUUCUUUCCAUACUCCUUAUUCAUGAACUCUAAUUGUUGGUAACUUUGAGAGCAUUGGUCAUCUUAAUUUCUUACCACUAAUGACAUGACAAGUUAAUUUCUGCAAUAAGAACAGCUAAAAUUAUUUUUAUAUCUUCUAACAUAAUAUUUUGUCAUGAAUGCUUUCCUAGAAUCUUCCUUCUGGAAUCCUACUUUUUAUGUAGUUUGGAGAUUCUCUUUUCUAAAAUAAAGAUUAGCAUGUAAGAUAAUAAAGUUAUUAUAUAUUUCAUCCAAACUGUAAAAAUACAUUGAAUAUUUUACUUCUUAAUUCCUCUAGGUAAUAUAAAAGUAUUUUAGACAGUUUUAUAUUGUAUUAAUUGAAGCAUAUCAAAGUUGAUUGAUUUCUAAAGACUGUGAACUCAACCCACAUAAGAGGAGGCAAAAGUAAAGAUUAGAACUUGCCAUUUCUAUUCCAGUCCAUUAAUUCUAGCUUAAGCUAUUUCUGAUAAGUGUGUACUCUGGAGAAAAAAAAAAUGUUAUUUGAAGAGUGGCCACUAUAUUUGUUUCUGGCAAAACUAAAGUUUUAAAAUUCCAGUUCCUCAACAAAUGGAAGAUGGAAUUUUCCAGUUCUUCAAAGUAUGAUUUUUAGGACUUGCUACUAAAGGUUAAAUUUUCUCUCUCUAUUAUAACAUAUUCAUGGAUCCUUUAGACAUUAAAGUAAAGUUGGAGUGGAAGAGUAGAAAAUAACAGA